UACGGAGGGGGCAAGCGUUGUUCGGAAUUACUGGGCGUAAAGGGCGCGCAGGCGGCUGCUCAAGUCAGGCGUGAAAGGCCUGGGCUCAACCCGGGAAUUGCGCUUGAGACUGGGCUGGCUUGAGUGCGGGAGAGGAUGGUGGAAUUCCCAGUGUAGAGGUGAAAUUCGUAGAUAUUGGGAAGAACACCGGUGGCGAAGGCGGCCAUCUGGACCGCAACUGACGCUGA
rnacentral:rRNA from 1 species